rnacentral:rRNA from 1 species
GACGAACGCUGGCGGCGUGCUUAACACAUGCAAGUCGAACGGGCUCUGUCUGGCUGUGUGCUGGGUGGGGUUAGUGGCGAACGGGUGAGUAAUACGUGAGUAACCUGCCCUCUUCUUUGGGAUAAGCCUUGGAAACGGGGUCUAAUACUGGAUAUUCCUGUCUGGUCGCAUGGCUGGGUGGGGAAAGUUUUUUCGGUGGGGGAUGGGCUCGCGGCCUAUCAGCUUGUUGGUGGGGUGAUGGCCUACCAUGGCGUCGACGGGUAGCCGGCCUGAGAGGGUGACCGGCCACACUGGGACUGACAUACGGCCCAGACUCCUACGGCGAGGGUGCUUGGGGGAUAUUUUAC